rnacentral:SRP_RNA from 1 species
GCUGGGUGUGGUGGUGUGCCCCUGUAGUCACAGCAUCUCAAGAAGGCUGAGGCAGGAGGAUCGCUGGAGCCCAGGAGUUCUGGAGUGUAUUGCAUUAUGCUGAUUGUGUGUCCACACUAAGUUUGGCAUCACUACGGUGACCUCCCAGGAGCAGGGAUCACCGGGUUGCCUAUUGGAAAUCUCUGUGCUGAGCAGGAGUGGGAUUGUACCUGUGAGUAGCCUGCACUAGCCCGGGCUACGUAGGGAGACUCUGUCUCU